GAGAGAGAGAGAUGCAUAAAAGCACUAUAAUUGCAUACAGUACAUCCUGUAAAGGACCUGUCCAAAGUGUAU